WGGGCGCAAGCCUGAUGCAGCCAUGCCGCGUGGUGUGAAGAAGGCCUUCGGGAUUGUAAAGCACUUUCAGAUCGUGAGGAAGGUGGUGUAGUUAAUAGCUGYAUCAUUUGACGUUAGCGACAGAAGAAGCACCGGCUAWCUCCGUG
rnacentral:rRNA from 1 species